rnacentral:rRNA from 1 species
UACGUAGGUGGCAAGCGUUGUCCGGAUUUAUUGGGUUUAAAGGGUGCGUAGGCGGGCAGGUAAGUCCGUGGUGAAAUCUCUGAGCUUAACUCAGAAACUGCCAUGGAUACUAUUUGUCUUGAAUAUUGUGGAGGUAAGCGGAAUAUGUCAUGUAGCGGUGAAAUGCUUAGAUAUGACAUAGAACACCAAUUGCGAAGGCAGCUUACUACACAGUUAUUGACGCUGAGGCACGAAAGCGUGGGGAUCAAACAGG